UUUUGGGUUAGGGAUUGCAGUGGCAUCCUUUUGCUGUUGGUGUAAAUUUAUGGCGUAAAACGACAUAAACUUAUACGAAUAGGCAAAAGAUAUAACGGAAAGCCCGACUACGC
rnacentral:sRNA from 1 species